CCUACGGGUGGCAGCAGUGGGGAAUAUUGCACAAUGGGGGAAACCCUGAUGCAGCGACGCCGCGUGAGUGAAGAAGUAAUUCGGUACGUAAAGCUCUAUCAGCAGGGAAGAAAAACUGACCGUACGGUCAGCAGACGGUACCUGAGUAAGAAGCCCCGGCUAACUACGUGCCAGCAGCCGCGGUAAUACGUAGGGGGCAAGCGUUAUCCGGAUUUACUGGGUGGAAAGGGAGCGUAGACGGUGCGCCAAGGCUGGAGGGAAAUGCCGCAGCUUAACUGCGGAACUGCUUUGGAAACUGGCGACCUAUAGUGCGGGACGGGUAAGCGGAAUUCCUCGUGUAGCGGU
rnacentral:rRNA from 1 species